rnacentral:rRNA from 1 species
AGAUAUGAUCCAGAGUACCACGGGACACGUGAAACCCUGUGGGAAGCAGGAGGGACCACCCUCCAAGGCUAAAUACUACCUAGUGACCGAUAGCGUAUAGUACCGUGAGGGCAAGGUGAAAAGAACCCCGGGAGGGGAGUGAAAUAGAA